UCGAGCCCCGCAUCGGGCUCUGUGCUGACAGCUCAGAGCCUGGAGCCUGCUUCGGAUCCUGUGUCUCUGCCCCUCCCCCGCUCACACUCUGUCUCUCUGUCUCAAAAAUAAACAUUAAAAAAAAAGAAACUAUUUUUUUGAACCAGAACAGGUAUAAUUCUACCGUGUGACCACAACGUAGUAUUCCUUCACAAGUAGUAUUAGUGAGGAUAGACCAUUUCACCACCAACAACUAGGUAGCAUUGAUUAUAGAAAUAUGUAGCGAGGACCUGAAUUAAUGGGUUUGCCAGUGCCUCUUGCCUUCUGUGAGCCAGGCACUCCUAAUCCAAGUUUUUUAUGUCCAUAAGCAGCCAUUCGGGGAGGUCAUGCCUGUUGCCAAAUGAAAGAGUUGUCUGGGAUUAUGGAACCCCUUCUCCUUCUCUGCUUUUGUGUUCCUCUCGUUGCAGCUCGCCAGUGCCCUGCUUCCUUCCUAAGAGGUGAGCAGGGACAGGCAGGACCAGAGAUUGUCAUCUGUUCAGCUAGAGAGGAUCAGAGCAGGUUAUGACAACCUCGGGUAUUUUAAGCCUCCAGAUUUUUGCAGGGUGUGUGAGUAUGUAUGUGUGGGUCGGUGUAUAUACACAGUGUAACUAAGCAUGAGCGAAUGGUGAUCUCUCCGUUUUUAUGGUAGGAAGUGGAGCAUGUAGGGAUGAAGUCAGGGGCUGCAGAGCAGAGACACAGGCUGAUUUAGGUAGUGAUUGCUACUGGGAAUAGAAUGAGGGGCUCCUGCCUCCUUUGGGUAAUAUCGUUUUCUUAGGCCAUCCUCCCAUCCACAAAGUACGACUCUGAAGUAGGUCUGCGUAUAACUGUUUUUUGUGGCAAUGUAAAUAGUUCUGACCUUAAGUAUUUGGAAGUGAGGACUCAUGCCCUUCUCCCAGAAUAUAAAUUUGACUCGGUAGGGCUAAAAACAAUUACAGCCUAAUGUAAGAAACUGUUCAGCCGACUUUGUUCAGAUGUCAGCCAAAUUAGAGCUUUGCGUGGUGGGGCACGCUCUGUUGGCUGUGCUCUAUUAGGGAAAGCAAAAAUAGAAAGCUUUUUCUCUAGACUUGAGAACGCAAUCAAUGUAUGCUCAUUAAGAGCAUCGGUGGCACAUGGCCACGAAAGUUGGAAUCGCAGCUUUACCGAGGGGUGCUGGUGUCCCGAGAACACAGAAUUUGCAAGGAAACGGAGUGCUCCCGUUGGUCCUGAAGCCAUCGAAACAGCAGACGCUAGACCUAAAGCCUCGUGUGGUGAUUUGUAAGUGGCCAUGCUAACAACAUGUGCAAUGUGCCGGGCACUCCUGCAACCCUGACUCUGGAGAAAAGGGUGUCUGGUGGGGUGGCUCGCCUGGUGCUUCCCUUGAGAGGACGCUGGCGUCCCACCCCUACUUUCUGCGCCCCUGAAACUGGGCUCUGCGGAAGUGUUUUUGAGGAGCGUUCAGUCCUUCCCAGGGAUGUACUUGGUGACUGGGAGUUUACACUUCAGCUUCAACUGUUCCCGGAGAAGAAUAGUUUUUCUCUGUCACUGAGGCCUUACCGAGAACAGAGGACUAGGUGAUUGUUCUUGAAGGCUCAAAUGCCAGAAAACCUUGUGUUAUGGGAGGCAUCGAAGCUUCCUAUUUUCCAUUCACCUUAGUUUAACAUUACUGCUAGUGUUAUGCUCAGGUUAACUUCCUGUAUUUGUUUUUAUUUGCAGUGCAUUCUUUAGUUAAAGUGUUACUUCGUGAAUGGAAAGAGAAAAAAUAAAAGCCAGGGGCAGGGGUAUAACGUGGAAGAAUAGGGUUUUGUUUCCAGUCCUGUUUUGCAACAGUAGGUUAAGCACUUUAAACUUGCUCUUCCCUGGUUGGUGAACAAGACGCUGAAACUCCAUGUCAUGCCACUACAUGGUGUAAUGCAUUUGGUUAAACUGCCAGGCACAUCCGUCAUCUUGUCUACACCGCAGUUCCACUCGCAGAGUUGGAGAGGCUGUUUGGGGACAUCCAGACCUCACUUUUCAGAGCAGUCUGCACUGAUCCGUGUAUUCUUAAAGCAGUUGUGUUCAUAUAUGUCAGAGGCCCGGUGUCCUUCCCACUUGCCAGUGUACUUCUCAUUUAAAUGGCAGAAACGUUGCAAAUAUUAAGGACCGGAAGGAUACUAACCCUCAGUGUUUGGGAUCAGACAACAAAAUCUAAUUCCUAUUCAUCAGACACCCAAGUCUAAGUCGUAGCACAAAUGAAAAGGGCAGCUUCUUUUUGAGAGAGUUGGGAAUCCUAAAAAUAAGCAAAGCUUAAUAAAAAGGGAAAGAAAAACGUUCUUGUCAUUUUUGUAAUUCAUCUGGCUCUGGAAUUUUCUCCCAAGCCCUCGAGGCAAAUUUCCAUUCAUGGCCCUAGGUAAGAUUCUGGAUCAUGAAGCCAAGAAGGUUAUUCUAAAGAAAAGCUGAUGGGCUGUAGGCGAUUCAUUGCCAGAGCGGUAAAACCAUCCAUGGACUUGUUGGAGUAUAUCUGGGACUUGCUAGAAGGGGUGGCUGGUUUGGAGAAGGAGCAAAGGCAAGUUCUGUUGACCUUACACUGGUGCUGAAGGGUUAGGUGGGUGGUUGUACGGUGUGGUGGCCUGGGAAUUCAGAGUCCUCGGAUAUCAUUUUUGUGUGUAAACUCUGUGUCUUUGGACAUUUCAGCUCUCUGGUCCUGCCGUCUCGUCUUUAAAAUGAGGUGCUGGAUUAAGUGACCUUUAAAGUCUCUUCCAGUUUAAAAAUUGUGUUAUCAUUUGGAAAUACACUGUCAGGAAAACAUCAGUGCCAAAGCCUGCCUCUCUAAUAAGGGAAGUAUUUUCAGGUUCUCCACUUUUGUGUGUGGAAGCCAACAUCACCCUGUGUUGGACAAAAGUAGUUCUGUGGACAUUUAAUUCUUUGUGAGAAGGAAAUGAAACUGGAUGACUUACUUUUAAGCCUGACUGGCUCUUGAGAAAAUGGAGAGGAGAGUCACUCCCUCAAAACGGCUAACAGGUUGAGCUGCGUGUAAAUUGGCGUUAUCAUCCUCUCUUUGAAGAACAGGAAGGCUGCUGUUACGAUAAAUGUGCUGGAAAUCAUUAAGGAUGAGAGGACGGUGGGACACAAGUGGCCACUCCAAGCCGUUUGCUGUCAGGUGGGACACCGGGUGGGCCCAGGUGAAAGACAGACAAGCGAAGGGAUUAGCCAUGGCCACCUGGGCCUCCCUUCUGCGAAACAGCAGACCCAGGGGGUGUUUCCGAGCGGUCCAGGUAUACAGGCGUCUUCUCUCCCCUUUUAUAAGCGGGACGGAGGAAAACACGCCAACAUGGGGGGGGGGGGUAUUUGUGUAUCUGUUUGUGCCUGCUUACGUCAUACCAAACAUGCUCCCCUCUCGGUGUCUUGGAGAUUCUUUUCUUAAGCAUGAAUGUGUCAGGAAAUCGAGGCCAUUCGGCUCUAUGGGUGACACCACGUAUUGACUAGUAUAGUCAUAAUUUGACUUUAGAUGACUGCUAUUUGAAGUGGUUGAGAAUGAAAAUAUCCCAUUUGCCAUUUACGAUAAGGCAGAAUUUUAGUCGAUCCAUGUACUCUGAAGGUCUAGAAUGUGCAGGGAAUUUGCCGUAAAAUUGUUUCAUACACAUGCAGUGGGGCGUCUUCAUUCAGGGAGUUAGUACACGACAAUUGCAAAUAUGGAUUGUUUUCAUUUCUUAGUAUAUAACCAUUAGCUUUCUUACCAACAAUGAAUUUAUAUUCUAUUUCCUAUUUCUACCUUUUAAGAAAAUCCUUUCUACUUCUGAGAAUCUUUAUCUCUCAACACAUUGCUAACCAGUUUAUUGGAAACAGAAACCCCCAACCCUGUGUCUGUCCCUUCCAGGGACAAUAAAAUACGUUUUUUGUCAAUGCAUGAAAGUAAAACAAGAUAACAAUCACUUGUAAUCUCACCAACUCCGUGAGAGUUGAAAGGCCAGUGGUAGGUUUUGAGCCAAGGAAAUUUUAAAUGAAAUAUUUUUAAAAGACCCCGGACGGUGUAUGGGGAUAGGUUAGGGUGGAUGCAGGGAGAUGACUUAGGACCCUUGCAGGAGUCCAGGCAAGAAACGAUGGUACCUUAGACUGUGUACUGGCAGAGGCACUGGAGAGAUACGGUCACAUUCUGGCUCUGUUUGGAAGACAGAGCAAAAGGGUUUGCUGAUGGGUUGGCUUUGGGUUAUGAGAGAAAGAAGUGUAGAGAGACCAAGGUUUCGGGCCUGAACAACCAGGAUGAUGGAGUUGCCAUUCAUCAAAGUGGGAAAGACGGGGAGAAGGGGAAAUCCUGAGGGGAAAAAAUAGAAAGUUAAGUAUUGAACCUAUUUUUUACUAUGAUCGCUAUGAAAAGCUGUUAUUGUCUCAUUGAAUCUUCCCAAAGCCUUUCCAUAGCCAUAACUGUGCUUUUAUUAAUAAGUCUUGGGGCAACACUAAGCUUAAGCUAUGGAAACAUUAAAUCAAGGAAUAUGGCACCUGGGUGGCUCAGUUGUUAAGUGUCCGACUUUGGCUCAGGUCAUGGUCUCACGGUUUAUGGGUUCGGGCCCCGCAUCAGGCUCUGUGCUGAUGGUCAGCGCCUGGAGCCUGCUUUUCAGAUUCUGUAUCUCCCUCUCUCUCUGCCCCUCCCCUGCUUGUACGCGCGCGCUCUCUCUCUCUCUC